UACAUAGGUCUCAAGCGUUGUUCGGAUUCAUUGGGCGUAAAGGGUGCGUAGGCGGCGCGGUAAGUCGGAUGUGAAAUCUCGGGGCUUAACUCCGAAACUGCAUUCGAUACUGCCGUGCUUGAGGACUGGAGAGGAGACUGGAAUUUACGGUGUAGCGGUGAAAUGCGUAGAUAUCGUAAGGAAGACCAGUGGCGAAGGCGGGUCUCUGGACAGUUCCUGACGCUGAGGCACGAAGGCCAGGGGAGCAAACGGG
rnacentral:rRNA from 1 species